AUUGAACGCUGGCGGCAUGCUUUACACAUGCAAGUCGAACGGCAGCGCGGGCUUCGGCCCGGCGGCGAGUGGCGAACGGGUGAGUAAUGCAUCGGAACGUGCCCAGUAGUGGGGGAUAGCCCGGCGAAAGCCGGAUUAAUACCGCAUACGACCUGAGGGUGAAAGCGGGGGACCGAAAGGCCUCGCGCUAUUGGAGCGGCCGAUGUCGGAUUAGCUAGUUGGCGGGGUAAAGGCUUACCAAGGCGACGAUCCGUAGCUGGUCUGAGAGGACGACCAGCCACACUGGGACUGAGACACGGCCCAGACUCCUACGGGAGGCAGCAGUGGGGAAUUUUGGACAAUGGGGGCAACCCUGAUCCAGCCAUGCCGCGUGCGGGAAGAAGGCCUUCGGGUUGUAAACCGCUUUUGUUCGGGAAGAAAUCCUCUGGGCUAAUACCCCGGGGGGAUGACGGUACCGGAAGAAUAAGCACCGGCUAACUACGUG
rnacentral:rRNA from 1 species